rnacentral:tRNA from 1 species
GAUUGCGUCUCCGAGUGGUUAAGGGGGUAGACUUGAACUCCACUAGGCUCAGUCUGCGCAGGUUCGAAGCCCGCCGUUAUCG